GGGACCCGUCUUGAAACACGGACCAAGGAGUCUAGCAUGUGCGCGAGUCAUUGGGAUUUUUACUAAACCUAAAGGCGCAAUGAAAGUGAAGGUCCGCCUUGCGCGGACCGAGGGAGGAUGGACCGUUCCGAGGGACGGCCUCGCACUCCCGGGGCGUCUCGCUCUCAUCGCGAGAAGAGGCGCACCCAGAGCGUACACGCUGGGACCCGAAAGAUGGUGAACUAUGCCUGGUCAGGACGAAGUCAGGGGAAACCCUGAUGGAGGUCCGUAGCGAUUCUGACGUGCAAAUCGAUCGUCGGAACUGGGUAUAGGGGCGAAAGACUAAUCGAACCAUCUAGUAGCUGGUUCCCUCCGAAGUUUCCCUCAGGAUAGCUGGCGCUCGCUUCUCGCGAGUCUCAUUCGGUAAAGCGAAUGAUUAGAGGCAUUGGGGUCGAAACGGCCUCAACCUAUUCUCAAACUUUAAAUGGGUGAGAUCUCCGGCUUGCUUGAACUGUGAAGCCGCGAGAUAUCGGAUCAGAGUGCCAAGUGGGCCACUUUUGGUAAGCAGAACUGGCGCUGUGGGAUGAACCAAACGCAGAGUUAAAGCGCCUAAAUCGACGCUUAUGGGAUACCAUGAAAGGCGUUGGUAACUUAAGACAGCAGGACGGUGGCCAUGGAAGUCGGAAUCCGCUAAGGAGUGUGUAAA
rnacentral:rRNA from 1 species